AUGGCCAUACCACAUUGAAAACACCGGUUCUCAUCCGAUCACCGAAGUUAAGCAAAACGAUGUCUGUUUUAUAGACAUUUUAUUGUGGCCUCU